GGAGUUAGCUCAGUGGUAGAGCGCUUGCCUAGCAAGCGCAAGGCCCUGGGUUUGGUCCCCAGCUCCG
rnacentral:tRNA from 1 species